AAAAGCUGACGCGGCACCAAAAAUUCGCAAAUUUAAACUUUUUAAUAAUGCACAAAACUUAAGAACAUUUAAUACUUAGCUUGCAACUCAGAGUUAAAUCACUAAAUAUUGAAUUAAAUCACUAAAAAAUCAAUUAAAGUUUAAGAAUUUUACAAAAUUAAACACAAUAGUUCGCAGCAAAAAAAUUACAGCUUUUUUUUAUCGUUCACAAAAAUAUUAAAAAGAGUUGGGCCCAGGUGUGAUUCUUGGGGCACUCCUGAGGUCACAUCGUGCUUGGUAGAUACAUGCCUAUCAACUUUAACUUGAAGUUACCUUCCAAUUAGGUAUCAGUGGAUCCAACUGAGUGUGUUACUUUGUUAUGAUGGUCCACCCUAUCGAAUGCUUUGCUGAAGUCCGUGUAGACGGUAUGAACUGCCUGACCGUUAUUUAGAGCUUCGAGUAGGUAAUUAAUAUAAAGGAACAAGUUGGAGGUAGUGGACCUCCCACCGACGAAACCGUGCUGUUUGCUGUUGAUGAUAUUCUUAAAGAAUGCAAUAUGUCUUGCCGGUCACGUCUUGCUGUUUUGAAUGAAAAGUUGUCGACGCUGGAGCGUCGAAUUGAUUAUCUGGAAGCAUGUGUAACUCAAGGGGAAACCCUUACAUGAGUUCAGGGUGCUAGAAUUGGUAUUAUUGUAAUAAAUUUUUCUAUUAAAGUAAAUACGGUUUUAAAUAAAAUGUGAACUCUA